UGGGGAAUAUUGCACAAUGGGGGAAACCCUGAUGCAGCGACGCCGCGUGAGCGAAGAAGUAUUUCGGUAUGUAAAGCUCUAUCAGCAGGGAAGAAAAUGACGGUACCUGACUAAGAAGCUCCGGCUAAAUACGUGCCAGCAGCCGCGGUAAUACGUAUGGAGCAAGCGUUAUCCGGAUUUACUGGGUGUAAAGGGAGCGUAGGCGGUACGGCAAGUCAGAAGUGAAAUGCCGGGGCUCAACCCCGGAACUGCUUUUGAAACUGUCGAACUAGAUUGCAGGAGAGGUAAGUGGAAUUCCUAGUGUAGCGGUGAAAUGCGUAGAUAUUAGGAGGAACACCAGUGGCGAAGGCGGCUUACUGGACUGUAAAUGACGCUGAGGCUCGAAAGCGUGGGGAGCAAACAGGAUUAGAUACCCUGGUAGU
rnacentral:rRNA from 1 species